UCCUACUGCAGGGCCAUGAGCGGUCCAUUACGCAGAUUAAGUAUAACCGCGAAGGAGACCUCCUCUUUACUGUGGCCAAGGACCCUAUCGUCAAUGUAUGGUACUCUGUGAAUGGUGAGAGGCUGGGCACCUACAUGGGCCAUACCGGAGCUGUGUGGUGUGUGGACGCUGACUGGGACACCAAGCAUGUCCUCACUGGCUCAGCUGACAACAGCUGUCGUCUCUGGGACUGUGAAACAGUCUGGAGAGGUGUUGGUGAAUGUUAAGGAGCACUCCCGGCAGAUCAACGACAUCCAGUUAUCCAGGGACAUGACUAUGUUUGUGACCGCGUCCAAGGACAACACAGCCAAGCUUUUUGACUCCACAACUCUUGAACAUCAGAAGACUUUCCGGACAGAACGUCCUGUCAACUCAGCUGCCCUCUCCCCCAACUAUGACCAUGUGGUCCUGGGCGGUGGUCAGGAAGCCAUGGAUGUAACCACAACCUCCACCAGGAUUGGCAAGUUUGAGGCCAGGUUCUUCCAUUUGGCCUUUGAAGAAGAGUUUGGAAGAGUCAAGGGUCACUUUGGACCUAUCAACAGUGUUGCCUUCCAUCCUGAUGGCAAGAGGUAGGGUCCCAGUGAAGCAGCUGACCUAAGCCUGG
rnacentral:sRNA from 1 species